GUCCCUGUAGCGCAAUGGAUAGCGCGUUGGACUUCUAAUCCAAAGGUCAUGGGUUCGAAUUCCACCAGAGACG
rnacentral:tRNA from 1 species